rnacentral:lncRNA from 1 species
UUUCUAAAUUUUUAUAGAAUAUGGUUGUGUAUGUCAACUUAAUAAGUUUUAAUUAAUUAUAAUUAUUAAAUUUGGUAAAAAAAAUGAGAGAAUCGUUUAGAUUUUUAAAGUUUGAUUUAUGUAUUAAAAUUAAAUAAAUUAAAAAUUUUAAAUAUGUCAAUUGAUAAGUUGAAGAAUUAUUGAAAAAUAUAAAAAUAUUAUAUAUAUCCACUUAUUUAUUUAUAGAUAGUAAUAUAUAUCAACUUAUUUAUUUAUAUAUAGUAAAUUUAAAUGAUUAAUAAAAUUAUAUAACUAUUUUAUGUAUAGUGAAGGUAAUCUUACCACUCUAUCUAAAGAGGUGAUAAGAUUCACAAAUACAACUAUCAGCUUCAAAUUACCAAAUAGAAUAAAUGCAAUUGCAUCAGUUGCAUCUGCACAAAACCAAACAAACUAUAUAUAAUUACAACGGCUACAUUUUCAACUGUAUGUAUUUUUAACUACACUGUAUUUACAACUACAUCGAACCAAACGGUCCCUAAAAAUUUCAUCAGAUUUGGAUUGUUAUAUACCAUUAAAUUCACAAACAUAUUACAUCUACCAUUAAAAUUGUCAAUUUUGAGACCUUUUGAUCACUAGCCAAAUCAUGUCGAAAAAUUAUGAAAUUUAGUUUUCAAAUACUUUUAAUAGUAUAUAUCAAGUCUAAUGGAGUUGAUCAUCGAUUUGGAAGCCGCAUUAUUGAAAACAACUUAAUAGCACGAAGGGCUCCGUGCUAUCGAUAGUAUACCAGCCUAGCUCGUAUAGUAUAGUAAUAGUGGAAU